rnacentral:rRNA from 1 species
CCUGACUGCUAUCGGAUUGAUACUAAGCCAUGCGAGUCAUUGUAGCAAUACAAGGCAUACGGCUCAGUAACGCGUAGUCAACCUAACCUAUGGACGGGAAUAACCUCGGGAAACUGAGAAUAAUGCCCGAUAGAACAUUAUACCUGGAAUGGUUUAUGUUCCAAAUGAUUUAUCGCCGUAGGAUGGGACUGCGGCCUAUCAGUUUGUUGGUGAGGUAAUGGCCCACCAAGACUAUUACAGGUACGGGCUCUGAGAGGAGUAGCCCGGAGAUGGGUACUGAGACACGGACCCAGGCCCUAUGGGGCGCAGCAGGCGAGAAAACUUUGCAAUGUGCGAAAGCACGACAAGGUUAAUCCGAGUGAUUUCUGCUAAAGAAAUCUUUUGUUAGUCCUAGAAACACUAACGAAUAAGGGGUGGGCAAGUUCUGGUGUCAGCCGCCGCGGUAAAACCAGCACCUCAAGUGGUCAGGAUGAUUAUUGGGCCUAAAGCAUCCGUAGCCGGCUUUGUAAGUUUUCGGUUAAAUCCAUGUGCUCAACGCAUGGGCUGCCGAAAAUACUGCAUAGCUAGGGAGUGGGAGAGGUAGACGGUACUCAGUAGGUAGGGGUAAAAUCCUUUGAUCUAUUGAUGACCACCUGUGGCGAAGGCGGUCUACCAGAACACGUUCGACGGUGAGGGAUGAAAGCUGGGGGAGCAAACCGGAUUAGAUACCCGGGUAGUCCCAGCUGUAAACUAUGCAAACUCAGUGAUGCAUUGGCUUGUGGCCAUUGCAGUGUCGCAGGGAAGCCGUUAAGUCUGCCGCCUGGGAAGUACGUACGCAAGUAUGAAACUUAAAGGAAUUGGCGGGGGAGCACCACCAAGGGGUGAAGCCUGCGGUUC